AUGGAGAUGGAAUGUAAAUGCACAAUUUACACAACUGAGAGACUAAGGGACGAAGUGUUACAUAUAGAGGCUGAACACAACACUGCAGACAACAGGUGGAUGUAUGUGGAAAGCAGCUCUUGUGCUGUUGCAUCAUGUCCUGCUGCCCUCAGAAGUUUCAGCACCCUGCCAGGCCUCGGAUGGUGGGGUUCAUGCUUAAAAUGCACACUUGGAGCCCAAGUCCCCCCUGAAGGCCUGACAGCUAGCCGUCUGGGCCACAGUCAACCAGAGUUCAGCCUUUUGAAAAGUACUGGCAAGGGAUCGGACAACUUCCUGCCACACAGAGAUGAAUGAGGCCAGUAUGUCUCUCUGGCUCAGCUCUGAGAGACAGGGAGGGUGUAGAGAGGAACGCAGAGGACCUCACGGGCAACACCUGGCAGUAGUGUGGUGUCAGUCUGACCCAAAUGUGGUCAGGUUCAACGGAAAACUGAGCAAGUUAGAGAGGCGAGAGGGUAAAAUGAGAUGCCCAUGACUCAACUCAAGCCUCACCUAGACAAUUAAGUUUUUAGUGGUUUGCUUCUACUUUGUGGAGUACGGGUUUUAAUAGAGUGCAUUGGUGCCCGCCCAUUUUUCAGUUAUGUUGGUUCAUUCUCUAUUUUUUCCAUAGAGAUUUUAAAUGAAGUGAAUCACAACAUUACAAACUUAUUAUGUGAAGCAAGAAAGUAUUUGAAAAGGUACAAGACUGCGUACUUAACGCCACACUGAUGGAAAGAACUACAAUCCAAUGAAGCAAUGCAAAUUACAUAAUUACAUAAAUAAAAGUUGUUGAUUAUACCUAUAAAAAUUAUAUAUUUUAAGUUUAUUGCAAAAUGGGCAUAAAUAUUCACAAAUAUUUAAGUAUUUUGACAGCAUAGUGAGAUCAACUGGAUUGCAUAAUUUGUGGUGCUUCAUGGGAGUGGGUUUUCCUUGUAAGUCGUUUUGGUUAAAUUUGCUCGCCACAUUGAUUGCUAGAAUUUUCUGUACACAUGGGCAAUGAAGUUUUUCACCACAAAUUCAACUUAAACAUGAUUAUUAACAAAAAAAUAAGGAUAGCAUGAUCCAUUAACAUCAGUUAACAACCUCAGAAUUCACUGUACAUCUGUCUUUAAAGGUUUAUACGUUAUCCUUAAAAGUAAAUUUCAUAACACAUUUAAAAAAUAAUGUAAUAUACAACCAGAAAGGAGGCUGAUUGUUAGCACUAAUGCUAAUGUACUUAGCGUUAGCAUUUUAAGGAUAUUCAGAAAACAAAUCAGUUAUUGAUUUUUAUUGUUUUGAAUCUUUCUCCUCAGGAAAAAAUCCCAAAGACCUCCACAGUAAUUGUGAAUUUAACUCCAUAUAUAUAUAUAUAUAUACACACAAUACACCCAUGCUUGCUAUUAUGGCCAGAUUGCACAUCCAUUGUGUCACAUUAUAAGACAAUGUGUUCUCAAUUAUGCCUCUUUGGUUGAUCAUAUCCAUGCGUACUGCCUCUCAUAAAUCAUCCCACAUAAAAUUAUUAUUUUUUUAAUUACCAGCUUUCCAAUUCAUUGCAUGACUCACUGUUCAUAAAAAUUCCAUUCAAAGGACAGAAUCAAAAUCUGCUGUUUCGACACAUUGUCACCUUUAAUUGGCGCUUUAUAAAUUG
ensembl:lncRNA